rnacentral:rRNA from 1 species
GGGUUGUGAGGUUAAGCGACUAAGCGUACACGGUGGAUGCCCUGGCAGUCAGAGGCGAUGAAGGACGUGCUAAUCUGCGAAAAGCGUCGGUAAGGUGAUAUGAACCGUUACAGCCGGCGAUGUCCGAAUGGGGAAACCCAGUGCAAUUCGUUGCACUAUCGUUAACUGAAUACAUAGGUUAACGAGGCGAACCGGGGGAACUGAAACAUCUAAGUACCCCGAGGAAAAGAAAUCAACCGAGAUUCCCCCAGUAGCGGCGAGCGAACGGGGAGCAGCCCAGAGUCUGAAUCAGCUUGUGUGUUAGUGGAACGGUCUGGAAAGUCCGACGGUACAGGGUGAUAGUCCCGUACACCAAAAUGCACAGGUUGUGAACUCGAAGAGUAGGGCGGGACACGUGGUAUCCUGUCUGAAUAUGGGGGGACCAUCCUCCAAGGCUAAAUACUCCUGACUGACCGAUAGUGAACCAGUACCGUGAGGGAAAGGCGAAAAGAACCCCGGCGAGGGGAGUGAAAAAGAACCUGAAACCGUGUACGUACAAGCAGUGGGAGCACCUUCGGGUGUGACUGCGUACCUUUUGUAUAAUGGGUCAGCGACUUAUAUUCUGUAGCAAGGUUAACCGUAUAGGGGAGCCGCAGGGAAACCGAGUCUUAACUGGGCGUUAAGUUGCAGGGUAUAGACCCGAAACCCGGUGAUCUAGCCAUGGGCAGGUUGAAGGUUGGGUAACACUAACUGGAGGACCGAACCGACUAAUGUUGAAAAAUUAGCGGAUGACUUGUGGCUGGGGGUGAAAGGCCAAUCAAACCGGGAGAUAGCUGGUUCUCCCCGAAAGCUAUUUAGGUAGCGCCUCGUGAACUCAUCUUCGGGGGUAGAGCACUGUUUCGGCUAGGGGGUCAUCCCGACUUACCAACCCGAUGCAAACUACGAAUACCGAAGAAUGUUAUCACGGGAGACACACGGCGGGUGCUAACGUCCGUCGUGAAGAGGGAAACAACCCAGACCGCCAGCUAAGGUCCCAAAGUCACAGUUAAGUGGGAAACGAUGUGGGAAGGCACAGACAGCCAGGAUGUUGGCUUAGAAGCAGCCAUCAUUUAAAGAAAGCGUAAUAGCUCACUGGUCGAGUCGGCCUGCGCGGAAGAUGUAACGGGGCUAAACUGUGCACCGAAGCUGCGGCAGCGACACUAUGUGUUGUUGGGUAGGGGAGCGUUCUGUAAGCCUGCGAAGGUGGCCUGUGAGGGUUGCUGGAGGUAUCAGAAGUGCGAAUGCUGACAUAAGUAACGAUAAUGCGGGUGAAAAGCCCGCACGCCGGAAGACCAAGGGUUCCUGUCCAACGUUAAUCGGGGCAGGGUGAGUCGACCCCUAAGGCGAGGCCGAAAGGCGUAGUCGAUGGGAAACAGGUUAAUAUUCCUGUACUUGGUGUUACUGCGAAGGGGGGACGGAGAAGGCUAUGUUAGCCGGGCGACGGUUGUCCCGGUUUAAGCAUGUAGGCGGAGGUUCCAGGUAAAUCCGGUACCUUUUUAACGCUGAGGUGUGAUGACGAGGCACUACGGUGCUGAAGUAACAAAUGCCCUGCUUCCAGGAAAAGCCUCUAAGCAUCAGGUAACAUUAAAUCGUACCCCAAACCGACACAGGUGGUCAGGUAGAGAAUACCAAGGCGCUUGAGAGAACUCGGGUGAAGGAACUAGGCAAAAUGGUGCCGUAACUUCGGGAGAAGGCACGCUGAUAUGUAGGUGAAGUCCCUGCGGAUGGAGCUGAAAUCAGUCGAAGAUACCAGCUGGCUGCAACUGUUUAUUAAAAACACAGCACUGUGCAAACACGAAAGUGGACGUAUACGGUGUGACGCCUGCCCGGUGCCGGAAGGUUAAUUGAUGGGGUUAUCCGUAAGGAGAAGCUCUUGAUCGAAGCCCCGGUAAACGGCGGCCGUAACUAUAACGGUCCUAAGGUAGCGAAAUUCCUUGUCGGGUAAGUUCCGACCUGCACGAAUGGCGUAAUGAUGGCCAGGCUGUCUCCACCCGAGACUCAGUGAAAUUGAACUCGCUGUGAAGAUGCAGUGUACCCGCGGCAAGACGGAAAGACCCCGUGAACCUUUACUAUAGCUUGACACUGAACAUUGAGCCUUGAUGUGUAGGAUAGGUGGGAGGCUUUGAAGCGUGGACGCCAGUCUGCGUGGAGCCAACCUUGAAAUACCACCCUUUAAUGUUUGAUGUUCUAACGUUGGCCCCUAAUCGGGGUUGCGGACAGUGUCUGGUGGGUAGUUUGACUGGGGCGGUCUCCUCCCAAAGAGUAACGGAGGAGCACGAAGGUUAGCUAAUCCUGGUCGGACAUCAGGAGGUUAGUGCAAUGGCAUAAGCUAGCUUGACUGCGAGCGUGACGGCGCGAGCAGGUGCGAAAGCAGGUCAUAGUGAUCCGGUGGUUCUGAAUGGAAGGGCCAUCGCUCAACGGAUAAAAGGUACUCCGGGGAUAACAGGCUGAUACCGCCCAAGAGUUCAUAUCGACGGCGGUGUUUGGCACCUCGAUGUCGGCUCAUCACAUCCUGGGGCUGAAGUAGGUCCCAAGGGUAUGGCUGUUCGCCAUUUAAAGUGGUACGCGAGCUGGGUUUAGAACGUCGUGAGACAGUUCGGUCCCUAUCUGCCGUGGGCGCUGGAGAAUUGAGGGGGGCUGCUCCUAGUACGAGAGGACCGGAGUGGACGCAUCACUGGUGUUCGGGUUGUCAUGCCAAUGGCAUUGCCCGGUAGCUAAAUGCGGAAGAGAUAAGUGCUGAAAGCAUCUAAGCACGAAACUUGCCCCGAGAUGAGUUCUCCCUGAGACUUUAAGUCUCCUGAAGGAACGUUAAAGACGAUGACGUUGAUAGGUCGGGUGUGUAAGCGUAGCGAUACGUUGAGCUAACCGAUACUAAUGAACCGUGAGGCUUAACCUUACAACGCCGAAG